CAAUUGCUUAUAACCUUUUGGUUAUAAAUAAUUGUUAAUGGCAGACGGGUGAGUAAUGCGUAGGAAUCUACCUAGUAGUAUGGAAUAGCCAUUAGAAAUGAUGGGUAAUACUGUUUAAUCUCUGCGGGGGAAAGAUUUAUCGCUAUUAGAUGAGCCUACGUUAGAUUAGCUAGUUGGUAAGGUAAUGGCUUACCAAGGCUAUGAUCUAUAGCUGGUCUGAGAGGACGAUCAGCCACACUGGAACUGAGAUACGGUCCAGACUCCUACGGGAGGCAGCAGUGGGGAAUAUUGGACAAUGGGCGAAAGCCUGAUCCAGCUAUGCCGCGUGAGUGAAGAAGGCCUUCGGGUUGUAAAACUCUUUCAAUAGGGAAGAUAAUGACGGUACCUAUA
rnacentral:rRNA from 1 species